rnacentral:RNase_P_RNA from 1 species
UCGGCAGGGCGCGCGGUCGCUGCCCCGCUUCGGCGGGGGAGAGGAAAGUCCGGGCACCAAAGGGCGCCGUAGCGGAUAACGUCCGUCGUUCACCGCCGAGAGCUGUUCGAGCAGGCAAACCCAUCGACCCCCACCUUAAACGCUGGGGGUUGAAGGGGGAGGGCGUAAGCCGCCCCCUGGGCUUUAGCCCGCUCGAAAUGCUUCGAGCGGGCGAAUAGGAACAGUGCAACAGAAAGCAAGUACGGUGGGGUUCUUCGGAAUUCCACGCAGUAGUGAAAUCCGGCAAACUCUACGGGGUGCAAGGCCAAAUAGGUCCCAGGGGCUCGCAAGAGCCGUCCGUCGGCCCGGCGGAUUCGCAAGGCCUGGGGCGGGUAGGCUGCUCCGAUCCCGAGCGCGAGCUCGGGGCUAGAGAAAUGACCGCAUAGACCAGAACCCGGCUUAGGGCCCUGCCCUUCAC